AGUGAACGCUGGCGGUAGGCCUAACACAUGCAAGUCGAACGGCAGCACAGUAAGAGCUUGCUCUUACGGGUGGCGAGUGGCGGACGGGUGCGGAAUACAUCGGAAUCUACUUUUUCGUGGGGGAUAACGUAGGGAAACUUACGCUAAUACCGCAUACGACCUACGUGUGAAAGCAGGGGAUCUUCGGACCUUGCGCGAUUGAAUGAGCCGAUGUCGGAUUAGCUAGUUGGCGGGGUAAAGGCCCACCAAGGCGACGAUCCGUAGCUGGUCUGAGAGGAUGAUCAGCCACACUGGAACUGAGACACGGUCCAGACUCCUACGGGAGGCAGCAGUGGGGAAUAUUGGACAAUGGGCGCAAGCCUGAUCCAGCCAUACCGCGUGGGUGAAGAAGGCCUUCGGGUUGUAAAGCCCUUUUGUUGGGAAAGAAAAGCAGCAGGUUAAUACCCCGCUGUUCUGACGGUACCAAAAGAAUAAGCACCGGCUAACUUCGUG
rnacentral:rRNA from 1 species